CCUGCAGGAGGCAGCAAUGCGGAAUAUAGACAAUGGGAGAAAGCAAGUAGAGCUAUGCUUUAGAGUGAAAAGGCCUUAGGAUGUAAAAUCCUAUGGUGAUGAUAAUGACGUACCGCAGAACUC
rnacentral:rRNA from 1 species